rnacentral:rRNA from 1 species
CCCCGGUAAACGGCGGCCGUAACUAUAACGGUCCUAAGGUAGCGAAAUUCCUUGUCGGGUAAGUUCCGACCUGCACGAAUGGCGUAAUGAUGGCCAGGCUGUCUCCACCCGAGACUCAGUGAAAUUGAACUCGCUGUGAAGAUGCAGUGUACCCGCGGCAAGACGGAAAGACCCCGUGAACCUUUACUAUAGCUUGACACUGAACAUUGAGCCUUGAUGUGUAGGAUAGGUGGGAGGCUUUGAAGUGUGGACGCCAGUCUGCAUGGAGCCGACCUUGAAAUACCACCCUUUAAUGUUUGAUGUUCUAACGUGGACCCGUAAUCCGGGUUGCGGACAGUGUCUGGUGGGUAGUUUGACUGGGGCGGUCUCCUCCUAAAGAGUAACGGA